rnacentral:lncRNA from 1 species
GUGAAGGUGAAGUGCAUUAACAUAUGGAGGAGUAUCUGUACUGAGAAGCACUGUGCAUCCUGCAGCUCUUACUCAAGGAUCUUCCAAGCGUAGCAUACCUAACAUGCAUAAUCCCAAGGUGACUACAGUUGCAAAGUAGAGCUUGCUGAGACGUCGAUGGCAGGACAAUAGUGCUCUAUCACCCUUCAGUGGACAUUCCACAUGAACACACAAACCCAGCCAGGGAUCGAAUCCUGUGCACAAUAACAGACACAUGAUCAAGUGCUGAGAAACACAGACUAGAAGAAAAAAUGAACACCUUGAGCAAGAACCAUGAUAAACAUCUCAGCAAAUGUCCCUUACAGCUGAGUGCCAUUGGUACCCCUCGGACAGUGUGGCAGCCUUUCUUUCUUUGGUGCUUGGAUAAACCUGAAUGUAUCCAGUGGAAAGUCAAAUCCAGUCAACCAGAGGGACAAGUUCCCUGAGGAAAGAUACAAAGACAUCACAAAAUAUCUUUUUUCCAUCCAAUGGCUCCAAUAGGUCGACUUUAUUAUAAAUUUUCUGUUUUAAAUAAAAUCAUCAUAGGCCGUCA